UACGUAGGGUGCAAGCGUUGUCCGGAAUUAUUGGGCGUAAAGAGCUCGUAGGCGGUCUGUCACGUCGGCUGUGAAAACCCGGGGCUCAACCCCGGGCCUGCGGUCGAUACGGGCAGACUAGAGUGCGGUAGGGGAGACUGGAAUUCCUGGUGUAGCGGUGAAAUGCGCAGAUAUCAGGAGGAACACCGAUGGCGAAGGCAGGUCUCUGGGCUGUAACUGACGCUGAGGAGCGAAAGCAUGGGGAGCGAACAGG
rnacentral:rRNA from 1 species